CUAUAAAAUUUGGAAGUAAAUGGACAAAUACUUGGACACAUACACCCUCCCAAAACUGAACCAGGAAGAUAUUGAAUCCCUGAACAAAUUAACAACAAGCUCUGAAAUCAAAUCAGUAAUGAAUAGCCUAUCAAACAAUAAAAAGUCCACAACCAGAUGGAUUCACAGCUGAGUUCUACCAGAGGUACAAAGAAGAGCUGGUACCAUUCCUACUGAAACUAUUGUAAACAAUUGAAAAGAAGAGACUCCCCCAUAACUCAUUCUAUGAAACCAACAUCACCCUGACACUAACACCUUGCAGAGAUAUAACAAA